CCAUCCCUUCCGGCAUUGAUUUUUCUGUUGAAUUUGGUAAGUUCUGUAUCUUUGCGACGAAGAGCUCCUGCCUAAGAAGGUACUGCGAGAAUCAUGGGCACAGAACACAAUCACAGAGUCAGGAUAUUUAUUCUGUACCUCACAGCUGGGGUAGCGGAGCAAACUGGACUCAGUCAUUCAAGUACCAAAGUCAGCAAAUUUCAAAGACUCGGGGUUUGUUUGGAAGGAUAGACGAACACUGAAUUACAACUUCCGUUGUUGUAAUUCACUUCUGUUGCUUUCCAGCCUUAGUCUGUCUCAGCUUGUCAUAGGUGCAGUCAGAUGCAAAAUCCUUAACAUUUACAGCACUUGAAUGGCCUGUGGACAGAGGGGAACUAAGCAGUGCUGGGGAGAUACAGAGGGACAGAGGAAGAGAGACACCUGCAACUCUACUUUGCUGCUAGUGAAGACCCCUCCCCCUGCAGAUGGAGACGAGGGGCUUGAACCUCGGUCUUUGCACAUGGAGGUGUGCGUGUUCACCUGGGCGCACCACACCUGGCCUUCUAGAUCCUGCUUUCUAUUUGUCUUUGUUAAGUCACUUUUUUAGAAAUACUUUCUGACACAUGUAAUGCUGGGUAUUGAACUUGGGACAUACGUAUGCUUGAGAGUCCAGUGUUUUAUUCACUGCACCACCACAUGGACGCCAGGCAUAUUCUCUGAGAUAAGGGGAAUACAGAUGAAAUAGAUGAUCUCAACUAGUCCCCAACAUCAGUUGGUAGCAAUCACUUUUCUUGCCAUUUCAGGGUCUACAGAAGAGAGGAAACUGGCCAGUGACUAUGGAGGCGAUACUCAGCUAGGUAUCCAAACCAUGCACAUCUGCCUCAGUACUGCGGAUACUCAGCCAGGUAUCCGAACCACACACAUCUGCCUCAGUACUGCGGAUACUCAGCCAGGUAUCCAAACCACGCACAUCUGCCUCAGUACUGCGGAUACUCAGCCAGGUAUCUGAACCACACACAUCUGCCUCAGUACUGCGGAUACUCAGCCAGGUAUCCAAACCACGCACAUCUGCCUCAGUACUGCGGAUACUCAGCCAGGUAUCCGAACUACGCGCAUCUGCCUCAGUGCCCAUUGGACUUCCUAUUUCUUCUCCCCAGGGUCCUUGGGAAAAGAGGGGAAGCUGACAAGACCCAGUUAGGAGGAAAGAAAGCCCAGAGGGAUGAGUGAAUGGCAGAACUCCGCAGAGGGAAGGAAGCAGCUUUUGCUAGAGGACAGGUGAGCAGCAGGUUGGCUGUGCCCGAACUUUUAAAACAUAUCUUUAUUGAUUGAUUUAUCUAUUGGAUGGGAACAGCCAGAAUUCAAGAGGGAAGGGGCUGAUAGAGAGGGAGAGAGAGGGGGGCUGGGUGGUGGUGUGCCUGCCUGAUCGCAUGUGUUACAAUGCUCAGGGACCUGGGUUUGAGCUUCCGUCCCCACCUGCAGGCAUCUCUUUCCCUCGCUAGCUUCCCCUCUCAUCUCGAUUUCUGGCUGUCUCCAUCCAAUAAAUAAAGAUGAUAAAAAUAAGAGGGUGAGAGACAGAGGCACCCACAGCCCCACUUCAGCAUUUGCAAAGCUUUCCCCCCUGCAGGUGGGGUCUGGAGGCUUGAACCUGGGUCCUUGAGCUCUGUAACAUGUGCACUCAGCCAGGUACGCCACUGCCCAGUCCCACAUCAAGUAAUUCAUCUGGCUAUUCAUUGGAAUGACUUGAUUUCCUUCCUACCUGCAAGUUUGAGCCACCACUUCUAGGGCUGGAUCCUGGGAAAAGAUAGUUCUGUCUUGUUCGUCACACAUAGACAUAAACAAGACUAACCUCUAUGACGUGAGGUCUAAUUUUAGUAGAACUGUCACUGAAAAUAAAGCACUAUUUAUGAUCUUGCUGUGGUGAGCGAUCCUUUGUUACCUGGAAACAGUGCUUCUUAGAGAGAAUUAUCUCUCUGUGAAAUUCUUGAGUUGUCCUAAAAUGUUCCCUGUUGUGACCACGGACUGUGAGCUCAGACUGACAGGAACUCAGAGGUCACACAGGCUCCUGUGCUAAAUAGAAAUAGAUGUAGUAGUGAGUUUAUGUGUGACUUAGAAAGGAAGAGAAGAUGGGACCACAGAGAAAGAAAAUAAGGGCAAAUCUGUACAAACAUAGACAGAUGGCUGUAGAAAUAAUAGUUACCCCACAUCUGC